rnacentral:rRNA from 1 species
AGCGAACGCUGGCGGCAGGCCUAACACAUGCAAGUCGAACGAACCUUUCGGGGUUAGUGGCGGACGGGUGAGUAACACGUGGGAACGUGCCUUUAGGUUCGGAAUAACUCAGGGAAACUUGUGCUAAUACCGAAUGUGCCCUUCGGGGGAAAGAUUAAUCACCUUUAGAGCGGCCCGCGUCUGAUUAGCUAGUUGGUUGAGGUAAUGGCUCACCAAGGCGACGAUCAGUAGCUGGUCUGAGAGGAUGAUCAGCCACAUUGGGACUGAGACACGGCCCAAACUCCUACGGGAGGCAGCAGUGGGGAAUCUUGCGCAAUGGGCGAAAGCCUGACGCAGCCAUGCCGCGUGAAUGAUGAAGGUCUUAGGAUUGUAAAAUUCUUUCACCGGGGACGAUAAUGACGGUACCCGGAGAAGAAGCCCCGGCUAACUUCGUG